GAACACAAAAUGGCGACACGUGGUUAGCAUUCGUCGCCAACGAGAAAUUGGGGUCGGCCCGAAAGCUCUAGAAUGCACCCCUCUUCCUCCCCGGGGCCUUCCACCUCCGCGAGUUUUAUGACUUAAAAAAGCCCACAGGCUGGUCUGAAGAGGAAGACAAACAUAAAGAUGAAGUGCUUAAUUCAAGGUCACACAAUGUCGGGGAUGGACCUCCAGAUUUCCUUACUGACCUGCAUUAUCUUGUGGAUACCUGAGUGAAUUCCACACCACCCAUUUUAUAGAUGAAACCACUGAGACAUGGAGCAAUUGACUGAGUAGUCACUGCCCCACCCCUGCCUGGAGCCUCACACAUGACUCGCCUCCUCUCAGUGACCACAGGUGAGACGUGGUCUUGUAACACAGUGGUUAAGAAUGUGACUUUGGAGCCAGCCUGCUAGGGGCUGAAUUCUGACUCAGCCAUUUACUAACUGUGUGACCUUAGGUGGAGUCUCACUCUGUAGCCCAAGCUGGAGUGGCGUGAUCUCGACUCACUGCAACCUCCGCCUCCUGGGAUCAAGUGAUUCUCGUGCCUCAGCCUCCUGAGUAGCCGGGACUACAGGUCACAGAAUUUUCCACACUCCUUGACAGAGGGGACCAGAUGUGCAGAGGUAAUGAAUACCAGGGAAUCAGGAAACCACUGGAUCAGUUCUUUGAGCCACAGAACAACACUCAUCCCAGCAGCUGGGAAGCUAUCUGCAAAAGUCCAUCUGCAGAAAGGGCUUCCUGGUCUUGCGUGUGGCUGGGCCAUUUCUCUGGAUGCAGGUUUUUCAUUAU
rnacentral:lncRNA from 1 species